rnacentral:lncRNA from 1 species
CCAAGGUCAGCUGGCUCCCAAGCAAGAGGGCAUGGAAGGGCUGGCGCAGAGCAGCCUGCUCUCUGCACCUCCAGGAAGUGGAAGGCAAGGGGAGGAGGAGCACGAGGGAUGUGCUGUGUGUGCUUCCGGUCACGUCCCCAUUGGCCCACUCCUCCAACCAGGCCAGGUCCCAGCCGAGGGCCCGCUCACCUCACCUCCCAAGGCCCCGCCUAGGAGUGCACAGGGAGGUCAUCUAGAUAAAAACCAGAACACGCGUGUUUACAGUAUUAAAAGGGAGGGGGUGGCCUAUCGUCCAGGAGCUCAGCCUACUGUGUUACAUCUGAAAGACCCUAAUACAGUAAAAGUACUCUGAGAAUCACAAAGAGGUCUGCCCUUUCUUUUUAACUUCUGUCCUGAGCUUAACCUAAAAUCCCAAAGAGGUAAGUACUUGACCUAUUCUUACAGCUAGGCAGCAAAUUAUAUAACUCAGGGUGCUGAGUUAUUGGCUUACAGAUCCUUAACUACUCCCCGCACCAGCGAGCUUGUAGUCUGUGGGCUUCACCAGCAGAAAUACAGUUUCAGAGCGAGAGAGUUCAUGCUUGGAAACUCGAAUGCAUCCCUUUUGCACUUCUUGAAGGUGCUGAGGGAAGGGUUUCUCGAAGAGGGCACCAGGAUGGGGACCAGUGGGGAGAGACCCAGGAAGAGCAAGGGUUGUUUAAAAAGAAAAAAAGAGCCAAGGAUUUAGCUCAGUGGCAUCGCACCUGCCUCGAAAGUGCAAGGCCCUUAGUUCGAUCCCCGGUACCACACACACACAGAACAAGAAAGUAUUACACACACACACAAACACACACACACACACACACACACACACACACACACACGGGAAACAAGGGCUGAGUAGUUGCUUCUGUUAAAUUGGAGAAGUGGAAAUGUACUUGGCAGGAGGAGGCUGCGUGGCUUGCAUUUGGAUCCCCAAAGUCUCAUGCGUUCACAGCGGGGCUGUUCGAGGUGAGUGGACUGCAAACUGCUGCUCCCUAGUACGGGAGCUGGGGCUGGUGACAGGCGGUAGGGAGGUCCUGCCUUCCUGGCUUCUCCCCGCGGUUCCCUGGUUGCCAAGAUGUGAGCACUUUUCUCCCUAGACCCUUCCACCGUACCUUCCUGCGUUGGGCUCAGCCAGCUAUGAACUAAAAGCGUGAGUCAAAAUCAGCCUGUGCUCCUUUAAGUUGCCUGUGUCGGGAGUGACAUGGACAGAGACAGAGAUGAUAGCUGCCCUGCUGCAGGUCAAGGACAGACGGGCAGGCACCAGGCAGAAAGAACAAGUGCCGUGUUGGCCCCUCGUGUUCCCAGUCACCUGUCCCCACUCUGCCUCUGCUGAAAGUGACAGAGCCAGAGCAGGGCUCAGCCCUGCUGCCCUGGCGGGCCCAGCAGCAAGCUGAGAAGACAGAGUCUCUUCAGGAAGAAUUUUACCCUGAGCAAAGCUUCAUGGCCACAUCUGCCCAGAGGUUUACAAAGCACGGAAGAAGUGCACAUUUUGCAGGCUGAAGAAAGCAUGGGGCAGCAGGCAGGUCCUGGUGUUUUGCUGGAUCCCAUCUGAGCCACGAUGCUUAUUUUGUCAUCUUGAAAACCACCAGUAAUAGAGGAGAUUCAAGCAGACGCUGAUUCUCAAUGUCCACCUUUGUCACAGAUGGGAUGCAUGAAUGUCUGUUCUGCAUUUAUGCUCUUACUAUCGGUCACAAUCUGUGUGUGUGAAGUCUUUUGCAGAAACAUCACGGCAACGCAGAAGUUCAAAGAAAAGCUCCAUCAAACUUGAUGGACUGAUGAGACUCUUACUUCUCAGCAAGCUUAAAGCGUUGUAAAAUGUCUUUCGAAGAUCUGGCUCUAAGACAGUGUAACUGUAGGAGAGAAGAUCCUUCAGCUCAUGAGGAAAGUUACUUAGAUGUCCAGGUAGCAGUGACCAAUCUGGGCCAUAAACACCACCAGCUCUGCCAGUCCUCUGCUGGGUUUACUUGGUUGUAACUUGAAAACCUCCACACUGGAUCAGAUGCGUAACUGCAGUGGGUUGCUGGGCAGCUUGUUGUUGUUCCUGCUGGACACAUUGGCCAAAGACCGGCUGUUCGAGGAGCGCUUCCAGAAAGGCUUGCACGCACUGCGGCUGGACUCCAGCUCCUGAGCCUAGCUUGAAACGGCACGUGGGUGCAGCCAGCAGGAAGGGCCGCAUUGACUUCUAAACUGUGUUCGCUUAUUGGCCUCUGUUCAAAACUAGACUGGUGAAAUCUAAAUCUUACAGCCUAUAGAGAUCAACGGUCCUCUUACAAAUGAAAUGCCACAUUGAUCUCUUGAAAGCCUGCCAAAUGUUUACUUACAUGGAAUAGAUAUUAUGGCUUAAUCUUUACUGCAUUUUUUUCCUGAUGAUGUCUGUGGUCUCUGAAGGGUUUUUUGAAACAAGGUCUUGCUGUCUAGUCCAGCAUGGCCUCAAACUCCUUAUGUAGCCCAGGCUGACUCCAACAUGUGGUCCUCCUCCCUCAGCCUCCCAAGAGCCAGGAUUACAAGUGUGCACCACCAUACUCAAGGGCUCUAAUUGUGAAACUAUUUUUAUUGAAAUGAAUAAUGAUUUUCUUGUUUCCAAAGAAACUUUUCCCGAAAGGAAAAGUAGUUAAAUGAUAUUUUAAAUUAGAAGAUGAAAACAAAGAUUGCCGGGAGCAUGUAUUUUCCCUAAUAAGACAUAAAGGCAUAUUCGCAUAGUAGUUAAGGGCAUGAAUUAUGGUGCCAUGCUGCAUAGCUUUAAAUCCCAGAUUUGCUGCUUAUAAACUGUAUGAUCUUAGACAUGUCAUGUAAUUUCUCUAAACUUUAGCUUUUCUUAUCUGUAAAAGGGGACAAAUGGUUCCUGCCUCACAGGGUCAUCAUGAAGCUGGGUGUGGUGCGCACGCACCAGGCAGCGGCACCACUGAACUAAAUCCCCAGAUCACCCUAGUUCUAAUAUUGGCUCUUCUGCCUCUACUUUAGACUAGAUUAUUCCAUGGACAGACAGUUUGAGUUGCCCAAAGAAUCCCUAUUAUUGAGCUAAAGUCUAGCUUAAGAUGAAGGAUUGUUUAACUCUGAAGGACAUUAAGAAUUUUUAAUGUCCUAUAUAAAUCCUUACACUAGGAAAUCAAAGAUAGAUGCUACACCUUGCUUUUAUUCCUACUUGUGGGAUAGCAGAUAAUUUAUUUGUUUUAACAAGCACUUCUGGUGGUGUGUGCCUGUAAUCCCAGCCACUUGAGAGGCUGAGGCAGGAGGAUUACUUGAGCCUAGGGGCUCAGAAGCAGCUGGGCAACACAGUGAGACACCCUGUUUUUUUAAAAAACAAAACAUUUCUAAGGAAAGAUGCUUGUUUGCUGUGUGCAACAACCAGCAGUUGACUAGAACCUGUUACUAAUUUAUUCCCAAACUCCAGCCGAUUUUGGUUAUGCUCCACUGGGCAUUCGUAACCCUGAAGAGCUAGAAUGAAUUGUCCAGGACACUGAGCAGGGGCCACCUGCCUCAUCAGGGAGAGAGCAGCCAACUGGCACCUAGGGCCUGAAUCAGUGGGGAAGGAAACCACAGAGCCCUUCAGGAUCAAUCUUCAUUUUUCUUUGUCGUCCGAGCUACAAAGAGGCACUGAGGCAUUGCAGAAGCAUAAAUCUUUAAAAAUCUGCAGUGUUAGUCACUCUGCCUUAUUAUAACCCCACUGUGCCUGUGCUUUGUAGGAAAGACUAAAAUCUAGCUGGCCCAGCCCCCACCUAGUAAGCUUGUGAACUCUCAUCAUAAAACAUAGGGCAAUCAAAUCCUCUUGUAGGAGAUGAAUGGAGGACGAGAGGAGCCCAUUCGCCUGCGUAGUAAUCAUUCUCUCCAACCUCCAAGGGAUGCAGCAGGGUGGGAAUGUAAGGAAGACAGCCCUUUGUUUGGCUGGGUGCAGCCGCACUCACCCUGUCUGCAAAGGGCCUCUUCAUGGGAGAUCUUUCAAAAUUACAAAAUGCAGGGCUGGGGAUUUAGCUCAGAGGUUUCGCCGCCUGCUGUGCAAGUGCAAGGUCCCAAGUUCGAUCCCUGGUACCAAAAAAAAAAAAAAAUUACAAAAUCCACAAUGACAUUAGUCUAGCUUCUGCUUUAAAGUGAAAAAUGUCACAAAGCUAAUAUUAUAUGGUUCUAUAAAGAAAAACAUACAUGAGCUCUGUUUCAAGGGCCUGUAAAGUCCCCUCUCCAUUAUUUCCAUUUUGUUUUAUUUAUUUGUUUAUUUAUUUUUUGGUACUGGGAUCGAUCUUGGGACCUUGCGCUUGCGAGGCAGGUGGCAGAACCACUGAGCUAAAUCCCCGCCCCUGUUAUUUCUAUUUUAAAUUACUAUGUAUACUCCAUUUGAUUUUAAGGGAAAAAUAUGCUCUUACAAGCUAGAUGUUUUUCAGGAAUUUGGAGAUGUCUGAUGAGAUGGUAAUAAAAUAACAGCUGAAAGCAAUGAGAAACGCUCAUACAUAGCAAUUUUCCCAGCUGUUUUUGCUCUUUUCUCUUUUAUACCCAGGCGAUUUCUGGCUUUUUCUUCAGCACUGAUUCGAAAUCAAUACUCCAGGAGAUCUGGCUUCUGUUGUCCUAAAGGAAAUCCCUUCUCGCCAGGGUGAACCUAGCGUAGCUGGCGCACCAUGGUCUCUGCUGCAGCAGAAGGUGCCAGAGCCUUCUGGGACAUUUUUCUGAUAAUUCCAUAAAUCCCUGACCCGAUGGGUUUUAAAAAUUGAGGUGAUAUUUACAUAAUAUAUCAGUCAUUUUUAAGUGAAUGAUUCAGGACAUUUGGUAUAUUUACAGUGUUGUACAGCGCCUCCAUCUCAUUCCAAAACAUGGCCUUCACUCCAAAAUAAAACCCCACACCCACUGAAUAGUCAGUCACUCCCCACCCCUGGCAGCCCCCAGUCUGCGUUCUGUCCCAGUGGACUUUGGAA